UGGGCACUGCUCUUGGCACAUGGCAUUAGGUGGUGGGACGGCCACCCUAAAAGCCAGCAACUUCAAGCCUUUCGCCAAAGAUCCAGAAAAGCAAAAGCGAUACGAAGAGUUCUUAGUACACAUGAAACAGGGUCAGAAAGAUGCUCUGGAACGCUGUCUGGACCCCAGCAUGACAGAGUGGGAGCGAGGCCGCGAGCGGGAUGAGUUUGCCCGGGCGGCCCUGCUGUAUGCGUCUUCCCAUUCGACCUUGUCCUCCAGGUUCACUCACGCCAAGGAGGAGGAUGACUCAGAUCAGGUUGAAGUCCCUCGAGACCAAGAGAAUGAUGUCAGGGACAAGCAGUCGGCCGUGAAGAUGAAGAUGUUUGGGAAGCUCACCCGAGACACGUUUGAGUGGCACCCUGACAAGCUUCUAUGUAAGAGAUUUAAUGUCCCUGACCCUUAUCCAGAGUAAGUUGGAUAAACGUUUAUAUCAGUACAAAAUGUAUUCUAAUUUUCCCCGU
rnacentral:sRNA from 1 species